rnacentral:rRNA from 1 species
UACGUAGGGUGCAAGCGUUGUCCGGAAUUAUUGGGCGUAAAGGGCUCGUAGGCGGUCUGUUGCGUCGGGAGUGAAAACUCAGGGCUUAACCCUGAGCCUGCUUCCGAUACGGGCAGACUAGAGGUAUGCAGGGAGAACGGAAUUCCUGGUGUAGCGGUGAAAUGCGCAGAUAUCAGGAGGAACACCGGUGGCGAAGGCGGUUCUCUGGGCAUGUCCUGACGCUGAGGAGCGAAAGUGUGGGGGAGCGAACAGG